rnacentral:rRNA from 1 species
UACGGAGGGGGCUAGCGUUGUUCGGAAUUACUGGGCGUAAAGCGCACGUAGGCGGCUUUGCAAGUUAGAGGUGAAAGCCCGGAGCUCAACUCCGGAAUUGCCUUUAAAACUGCAUCGCUAGAAUUGUGGAGAGGUAAGUGGAAUUCCGAGUGUAGAGGUGAAAUGCGUAGAUAUCUGGAGGAACACCGGUGGCGAAGGCGGCAUCCUGGACCGACACUGACGCUGAUGCGCGAAAGCCAGGGGAGCAAACGGG